CUGCUGCCUCCCGUAGAAGUUUGGACCGUGUCUCAGUUCCAAUGUGGGGGACCUUCCUCUCAGAACCCCUAUCCAUCGAUGCCUUGGUGGGCCGUUACCCCGCCAACAAGCUAAUGGAACGCAUCCCCAUCGAUGACCGAAAUUCUUUAAUAGUUCUACCAUGCGGAAGAACUAUGCCAUCGGGUAUUAAUCUUUCUUUCGGAAGGCUAUCCCCGAGUCAUCGGCAGGUUGGACACGUGUUACUCACCCGUGCGCCGGUCGCCA
rnacentral:rRNA from 1 species